GACCCAGUGGUACAGUUGGUUAGUGUGCCUGCUCUAAAUCGUAGUUUGCUAUGGUAUGGCAGGAGUCCCUCGUUCGAACCGGGGUUGGGUCA